UCUACAAGGAAAGAACUCAUAAAUAAUAAACAAAGUAGACGGGUAGAUCGAUCCGGGAAGAGUGACAGAUGGACAGAGGUUGAGGAAGAACACACUAACCAAGGAACCAGACACUAGAUCACAGCAGGUCAUCGCUGACUGUGUCUAAUCCAGGGGAGGAGGAAAAGGUUUCAGGGCAGCGGAUCUGAGUUAUGCCUGAACGGCUGUCUAGGAGCUGGGCAGUGACCAGGAUCACCCUAGUACAGAGAAAGAGGCAGUAAGGAAAUACAGCCAGUUCUUUCCCUCAGGCAUUCCAGUUCUUUGCCAGGACCUCAUACUGGGAAUGCACACAAAACCAGUGCCAGGACAAUGUCAACCACAGAAGCCAGGCUUCUAGAAUUCAGAGUAGGAAAGACAAUGGAACUGGGGACAAAGAGCUCCGAAAGGUUGCUCACUGUGGACCUUUAAGAGGUCUCCUCACAAGCAGAGACCCAAAGAAGAGCAGGAAAGAGUAAAAUGCUGAAUGAACAAGUUUUGAAGAAAGAACACAGACUUCUUUUUUUUUUAAUGUAGGUUUUGAUGGAUAGCCAGAGGGUAAAAUUGGACACUGAGCCCAAGGAAGACCUAGGAGCCAAGGUGAAUGAGUUCCAUAUUGUGUUUUCAACCAAGUUCUUCCCAUGAAAGUCUGAAAGUCUCAGGGAUGGCUGUGAUGCUGCAAUGUGAGACCAGAUCCAGAUUCCCAGAACUGAAGAGCAUCUGCCAUUCCCCAGUGAUCUGCCAGGAUACAAGUUCCCUUCCUAGAACUUCGCAUCAAUCCGGAAGUGUGUCUGAGUGCAUAUACAUCAGUAACUUCCCUGUGACUCAGCCUAUAGCCCUAAGCUUCAAAACCUUUAACUGUUGGAAGCAUGAUGCUGUGAUUAUGACAUUAAAAAUCCAUGUUGAACUGUUA